GCAUUUUGCACCCGUAGGUUGAUUUAUAGUACCAUCGUUUUCAAUUUUCUUUCAGUACUUUCAUUGGAAACUUUAAAGAAUUGCUGCUAUAAGCAUCUGUUAGAUCAAUAUUUUUUGUUUCAUUCUUUAUUCUUUCUGCAAAAUCAUACACCAAUGUAUUCACUGUCUUCAGCUUUUUAGUUGGUAUUCACCUUCCAUUCUAAUUUGUUGUGGAAGUUAUUAGCAGUUCUCUUUGAUUAAUUGCAUUCUUCAAGGUGCUGAAAUAUAUGAUUCUGGUCAGUAUCUUAUUGCUGGAUGUGGUAUCCUUUGUUCUAUCUGGGUUGGGUAACAAGUUUGUUUAUUGUUACAUUAUUUCUUUUUUUGGGAAUUGUCAUAUGAUCCUGAUGUUAAGCUUUGUGGAUGGCCUUGGUUCAAUAUUGCUGAUAUUUUCUCAAGCUAUGUUGAGUUUUAAUUUAUAUAUUGAAGUUUGAAGAGUUAUUGAGUAGCUGCAUUUGAGUUGGAUUCUUGACUUACCAUCAAAGAUUGAAGAGUUACUGAGCAGCUGCCUUUCAGUUGAUAGUAGUUAUUGGGAACUGAAAUUGCCACUUCUAGUGAGAAAUAUUUACUACCAUUAACUGUUCUAUAUAUUUGCUGUUUUACUUCUAUUCUUUGCUUAAAUAUGUGAUUCAUAUUUUUCUUAUACUAUAUUAUUCAAUAUGAACAUAACUGGUCCGUUUUGAUUGAGGCAUCAAUCCAAUUCAUGGUCAUUCUUGACGUAAGGAGUUGUGAUUUUGUAUCACAAACAAUCCCUUUUAUUCUCUUUUUUAUGCAGCAUAAUUUUCUUGGUUUUACUCAUUUGACAACACAUCUAGUGAACUGUCACAGCAAUCAAUGUCUAAAGUGAUUAUUAUGUUUUCAUCCUCUUAUUUAACCCAAUUCUUUGCUGGUGCUAAUUUGCUUUUAGAUUUUACCAUAUUUAAUAAGGACACUAAUAAACCAUGGAAACCAUCUUUAGAUUGCCAGGUCUUUGACAAAAUGAGGUUAUGGAUCCUUUGUUCUUGGUUUUCUCUCCUUAUGUUGUAGAAGAGGGAUCUUCAGCAUGGCAUUGUAUCUAUCUGGAUGCUGGUUGAGACCGGCAUUUUUUUCUAUGGCGGAGUAGUUGGUCAUUUUUACGUGAUGUUUUCUGAUAACUAUUAUCUUCAGCAUGGCAUUGUAAACAUUUUACUUGUGGGUAAUUUACAACAGUCUCAGCACCUUUAUUCUCUUCUAUUAAGACCUUUCUACAUGUUAUAAUAAGUUGCAAAAGGUAUGCUUAUUAGUCUGACCAUUGCUUAGGCUACUUUUGCAAAUAUGUAAAUUUGUAAGUUGCAAAAAUAAAGCUUUUGGAAUGUAUUUUAUUUUUCUUUAAUAUUUUUUAUAUGAAUAUUCAUUCUUUAUC
rnacentral:lncRNA from 1 species